UCUCUCUCUAUGAGAUAAGUUUUCUUAUAUCAUACAUAUCAAUUCCAGCUUCAUAUGUAUUCCCAUGAUGAAGCUAAGAGAAUUAUAGUAUUAAUUAAUUCUAUAUAUAUAGGUUUCAUCAUCAUCAUUAUACCAUGUUUUAUCAUAUUAUUCAUGUAUAGGUCUAUAAAUUAAGUUAGAGUAUGUGUGUUAUUACAACUUCCGCCAAAAUAGCAUUUAUCACAUGUUUUUAUUAGAUGUGGAUAUGUAUGUGUGCAUCUAAUUAACCUAGUACUUAGUCAUGGAUACACAUGAUUUCAGGGUAAGUAGAGACUAAGUAGUUGUUGUUGAUGUUACUAUUGUUGGUGAGCUUUAAUAAAUGCAAUUUAGACAUGUGUGUUAAAUUUGAUGCAUCCUAAUUUUCUUUGUGUCACAUCAUGCAUACAUGUGUGUAUGUGCCUGGCUCCCUGUAUGCCAUUUGUAGAGCUCAUCGAAAUAUCGAUGACCUCUGUAGAUGGCGUAUGAGGAGCCAAGCAUAUUCCAUAUACAUACAUGGAGAAAUACGAACACACGAUUAAAAUAAGUUAAUUAUUAUAAAUUAUCUUCACUAAUUAAACAUGUAUUAUUGUACUAACUAUAUAUUAGAGGGCCAUAUAUAUAGGUCAAUUAUUCAACAAAGCACGGCAUUGUCAUUUUCAAAGUCACAGGUAAUGCUUCCUCAUUGCUUUACAAAGGAAUUGGGGACAACACAGCACAUACACACGCAUGGGGUCUGGGCAGGGCUUGAAGAAAGUGAAGAAAAGAUGUAUAUAUCACGGGAAAAGCAAAAGCAUGAUUUGUAUGUGUGGGAAUAGGAGGAGGAGGACGAAGAAGAGAGGGGGAUUAUGAUUAUGAUUAUGGCCACUCGGGAAUAGGAAUCUCAUGCAAAAAGGAGUUGGACCACUCUCUCUCUCUCUUGCUGAGAAGAGAAUAUGUUUUUAUGGUCAAAGCAGGUCAAAAGUGGGACCACCCUGGGGAACCCUGCCUGCCUCUCCUUUCUCUCUUCCUCUCUCCAAAUUUGUUACAUUCUAUUAUUUUCUAGUUCAACAAUGGAAUAUUAUUCUACUUAUACAUCAUGGUUUUAUUUUGUUAGGAUCAUAUGUUAUUAGGUUAUUGUUUAAAAAUAUUAAAUGUUUUGUAAUUUUAUCUUUUUUUUUAUUUUAAUUGAUAUUUCAUUUGUUAGUAGUAGAAUGUGGUUUGUAUAAAAAGAAGGCAAUGAUUCUAAUAUUCUUCUAAGACUAGAAGAUAAAUUAUUAUUUUUUA